rnacentral:rRNA from 1 species
UGCCAGCCGCCGCGGUAAUACGAAGGGCCCGAGCGUUGCGCGGAAUCACUGGGCUUAAAGCGUACGUAGGCGGACAGACAGGCGUCUUGUGAAAUCCCUCGGCUCAACCGAGGAAUUGCUCGGCGAACCGUCUGUCUUGAGACAAGUAGGGGCUGUCGGAACGAUAGGUGGAGUGGUGAAAUGCGUUGAUAUCUAUCGGAACGCCGAAGGAGAAAUCAGGCAGCUGGGCUUGUCCUGACGCUGAGGUACGAAAGCGUGGGGAGCGAACGGGAUUAGAUA